GACGAACGCUGGCGGCGUGCCUAAUACAUGCAAGUUGAGCGAUGAAGAUUGGUGCUUGCACCAAUUUGAAGAGCAGCGAACGGGUGAGUAACGCGUGGGGAAUCUGCCUUUGAGCGGGGGACAACAUUUGGAAACGAAUGCUAAUACCGCAUAACAACUUUAAACAUAAGUUUUAAGUUUGAAAGAUGCAAUUGCAUCACUCAAAGAUGAUCCCGCGUUGUAUUAGCUAGUUGGUGAGGUAAAGGCUCACCAAGGCGAUGAUACAUAGCCGACCUGAGAGGGUGAUCGGCCACAGUGGGACUGAGACACGGCCCAAACUCCUACGGGAGGCAGCAGUAGGGAAUCUUCGGCAAUGGACGAAAGUCUGACCGAGCAACGCCGCGUGAGUGAAGAAGGGUUUCGGAUCGUAAAACUCUGUUGGUAGAGAAGAACGUUGGUGAGAGUGGAAAGCUCAUCAAGUGACGGUAACUACCCAGAAAGGGACGGCUAACUACGUG
rnacentral:rRNA from 1 species